UACAGAGGUCUCAAGCGUUGUUCGGAUUCAUUGGGCGUAAAGGGUGCGUAGGUGGUAUUGCAAGUCGGAUGUGAAAUCUUGGGGCUCAACCCCAAAACUGCAUUCGAUACUGCGGUGCUUGAGGACUGGAGAGGAGAUUGGAAUUCACGGUGUAGCAGUGAAAUGCGUAGAUAUCGUGAGGAAGGCCAGUGGCGAAGGCGGAUCUCUGGACAGUUCCUGACACUGAGGCACGAAGGCUAGGGGAGCAAACGGG
rnacentral:rRNA from 1 species